rnacentral:lncRNA from 1 species
GGGAACGCGACCAUCAGACCAUUAUUGCUAAUAUAGUUCAGGGCACUUAGUAGGUGCUCAGCAAAUGCUUAGUCAACAAAUGGUGAUUUUAUGCACCCCAUCUACUCUGUGCCCAAAAACAAGCCCACACAUACACGCAAGAGGCUGAGGCAGGAGAAUUGUCUUGAGUUCAAGGCCUACAGUGAAAAACUGACUCAAACGAGUUUAUUCAGUGAUGUUUAUACCUGCCCACAUAAUAUACAGCGUUCUUGGGAGGAGC